GGGGUUGUGGCUCAGUGGUAGAGCGCUUACCUAUCAUGUGUGAGGCACUGGGUUCGAUUCUUAGCACCA
rnacentral:tRNA from 1 species